UACGGAGGGUGCAAGCGUUAUCCGGAUUUAUUGGGUUUAAAGGGUGCGUAGGCGGCUUUUUAAGUCAGUGGUGAAAUCCUAGUGCUUAACACUAGAACUGCCAUUGAAACUAAAGAGCUUGAGUCAAGGAGAGGUAAGCAGAAUUUAUGGUGUAGCAGUGAAAUGCUUAGAUAUCAUAAGGAAUACCAAUAGCGAAGGCAGCUUACUGGCCUUGUACUGACGCUGAGGCACGAAAGCGUGGGGAGCAAACAGG
rnacentral:rRNA from 1 species